rnacentral:rRNA from 1 species
AUUGAACGCUGGCGGCACGCCUUACACAUGCAAGUCGAACGGCAGCACGGGUGCUUGCACCUGGUGGCGAGUGGCGAACGGGUAAGUAAUAUAUCGGAACGUACCUUAUUGUGGGGGAUAACGCAGCGAAAGCUGUGCUAAUACCGCAUAAUCCCUAAGGGGGAAAGCGGGGGACCGUAAGGCCUCGCGCAAUUAGAGCGGCCGAUACCUGAUUAGCUAGUUGGUGAGGUAAAGGCUCACCAAGGCAACGAUCAGCAGCUGGUCUGAGAGGACGAUCAGCCACACUGGGACUGAGACACGGCCCAGACUCCUACGGGAGGCAGCAGUGGGGAAUUUUGGACAAUGGGGGCAACCCUGAUCCAGCAAUGCCGCGUGAGUGAAGAAGGCCUUCGGGUUGUAAAGCUCUUUUGUCAGGGAAGAAACAGCAGCUCUAACACAGUUUGCGAAUGACGGUACCUGAAGAAUAAGCACCGGCUAACUACGUGCCAGCCGCCGCAGUAA